UCGAGAAUCUUCGGCAAUGGGCGCAAGCCUGACCGAGCGAUGCCGCGUGCGGGAUGAAGGCCUUCGGGUUGUAAACCGCUGUCAGAGGGGAUGAAAUACGUCGGGGGUUCUCCCCCGGGUUUGACAUAUCCUCAGAGGAAGGACGGGCUAAGUUCGUGCCAGCAGCCGCGGUAAGACGAACCGUCCAAACGUUAUUCGGAAUUACUGGGCUUAAAGGGUGCGUAGGCGGCCUGACAAGUUGGGUGUGAAAUACCUCGGCUCAACCGAGGAACAGCGCUCAAAACUGUUAGGCUUGAGGGAGAUAGAGGUGAGCGGAACUUAAGGUGGAGCGGUGAAAUGCGUUGAUAUCUUAAGGAACACCCGUGGCGAAAGCGGCUCACUGGAUCUCUUCUGACGCUCAUGCACGAAAGCUAGGGGAGCAAACGG
rnacentral:rRNA from 1 species